GAUGAAGAACGUAGUGAAAUGCGAUAAGUAGUGUGAAUUGCAGAAUUCAGUGAAUCAUCGAAUCUUUGAACGCACAUUGCGCCCCUUGGUAUUCCAUGGGGCAUGCCUGUUCGAGCGUCAUUUGUGCCUUCAAGCUUUGCUUGGUGUUGGGUGUUUGUCUCGCCUUUGCGUGUAGACUCGCCUUAAAAUAAUUGGCAGCCGGCGUAUUGAUUUCGGAGCGCAGUACAUCUCGCGCUUUGCACUCAUAACGACAGCGUCCAAAAGUACAUUUUACACUCUUGACCUCGGAUCAGGUAGGGAUACCCGCUGAACUUAAGCAUAUCAAUAAGCGGAGGA
rnacentral:misc_RNA from 1 species